rnacentral:rRNA from 1 species
GACGAGAGGUGCCAAGCGUUUAGGCGGAAUCACUGGGCUUAAAGCGUGUGUAGGCGGAUCGUUAAGUACCUUGUGAAAACUCCCACGGCUCAACCGUGGAACUGCUCGGUAUACUGGCGGUCUUGAGCCACCUAGGGGCAACUGGAACAAGCGGUGGAGCGGAUGAAAUGCGUAGAUAUCGCUGGAACGCCAACGGUGAAAACAGGUUGCUGGGGUGUGCUGACGCUGAGACAGAAAGCCAGGGGAGCAAAACGGG